AGUCGUAACAAGGUUUCCGUAGGUGAACCUGCGGAAGGAUCAUUAUCACGUAUCCAAACGUACCAACCCCUUUUAUACGAACCCACAUAACCUGCCCAUUGAUUGUGUUUGAAGCGUGUAGAAAUGCGCGCGGAAGCAGCGUACGGCUGGGAACGGCUGUAUCUUUAGCUGGUCGCCUCGCGGCGGCGCACAGUCUUUGUUGUGCCUAACCCUUCAUUUUUUUCAACCGAUUCUCUGGUUUGACGGAAUAAAACACUCUUCUUGACUUUGCCGGUCUCCGGUGAGGCAAGAUUUUAAUUUAUUGAAAGCUGAACAACUUUUAGCAACGGAUGUCUUGGUUCUC
rnacentral:misc_RNA from 1 species